rnacentral:lncRNA from 10 species
UGAAAACUCACUUUUAAAAAAAUCAAUGUUUCUUAAACACAUUAUAUUCUCUGACAUCUUUGGCCAAUACAUGUUUUUUUUUUUGGCACCAACUGCCCAUCCCAGCAUCUGUAGGAAACUGGGAAACUGCCUGACCACACCUGAUGAGAGACAGCAGCCACAUGGUGAUUUCACCUCCCACCCCUGACAAGCAGGAUUGUACCAAAGGAAGGCACUUCCCUAAAGGGCAACCAAUCCACUGGCCUUCCAGAAACCAACACCCACGUGACCCAGCUUAAAAAGAUGAACUGUGCCAAAGAAAUUCCUCUCCUAAGAAUGUGGGACUGAGUAGCAGCAGGGUCGGCGCCAUCUUGUAGAAAGUAUCAGGAGAACCAUGAUGGUCCACAGGGAAGCUGAAGUUAUGAGGAAAUAAAAAUCAAACAUGGGCCUAGACCUUCCCUGAAAGGAAAGAUUUCUGUGACCUUGCAGAAACAAGCCACCAUGAGUUCUACAGCUGCAGAAAAUGAAUUCUGUCACCACAACCUUAGCUUGGAAUGGGACCCCAAGCCUCCAACCAGACCAUAGCCCUGGCCGACACCUUGAACACAGCCUUGUGAAACUCUGAGCAGGGGACCCAACUAAGCCAAGACAAGAUUCCUGACCCACAGAAGCUGUGAGAUAAUAAAUGUAUAUUGUUUUAAGCUACUAAGUAUGUGGUGAUUGGUCAUGCAUCAAUAGAAAACUAACACAUUUACUUUUCACUUUUCUGAAUUUUCU